rnacentral:rRNA from 1 species
GCCUCAAAUAAUGUGUGAC